AUGUGGCAGUAUGCCCUGUGGGCUCUGAACGCACCACACAAGUGCCUGACUUUAAUUGGUUGUAGCGCUGUCUGUAUAUAAAGGGCCCUCCCUCACCUGGUAGACAACACGUUCUCCUUCCGGUUCAGAUUUCACUGUUUACUGGUGCUAUACGACUGACGCGCUUAAUACAUUAAUUGCUGUUCAAGCCUUCUUCUGGAACGGCCAGCUCGUGGUGUUGGUGGUGGACUUUCCGGGUGGUGGUACUUUCUUUGGUUUGGUGCACGAUUUUCUUUUAUUUGGUUUGCUGUGUUUCCUUUGUAGGUCCCUGCCAGCUUCGAGUUGAGCCGUAAAUGUCAUUUUAAUGUGUGAGUGAUUUUAAAUUAAUAUAUUUCUGACUAGAAAAUUGAAAUAAAUAAACUGAUUGGAUUGAGUGGAA